rnacentral:rRNA from 1 species
GAGUUUGAUCAUGGCUCAGAACGAACGUUGGCGGCGUGGAUUAGGCAUGCAAGUCGAACGCGAAAGGGUAGCAAUACCCGAGUAAAGUGGCGAACGGGUGAGUAACGCGUAGGAAACCUGCCUUCGAGUGGGGGAUAACACUCCUAACGGGGUGCUAAUACCGCAUGAAACUAAGGGGUCGCAUGGCCCCAUAGUCAAAGGUGGCCUCUAUUUAUAAGCUACCGCUCAAAGAUGGUCCUGCGUCCCAUUAGCUAGUUGGUGAGGUAACGGCUCACCAAGGCUUCGAUGGGUAGCCGAUCUGAGAGGAUGACCGGCCACACUGGGACUGAGAUACGGCCCAGACUCCUACGGGAGGCAGCAGUCGAGAGGCUUCGGCAAUGGGGGAAACCCUGACCGAGCGACGCCGCGUGGAGGAUGAAGGCCUUUGGGUUGUAAACUCCUGUCAUGUGGGAAGAAACGCUAUCGUUCGAAUAGGGCGGUAGUUUGACGGUACCACAAGAGGAAGCUCCGGCUAACUCCGUGCCAGCAGCCGCGGUAAUACGGGGGGAGCGAACGUUGUUCGGAAUCACUGGGCGUAAAGGGUGCGUAGGCGGCCAAGUAAGUGAUGUGUUAAAUCCUCCGGCUCAACCGGAGAACCGCAUGUCAUACUGCUUGGCUUGAGUGCAGCA